UACGUAGGGUGCAAGCGUUGUCCGGAAUUAUUGGGCGUAAAGAGCUCGUAGGCGGUUUGUCGACGUCGGCUGUGGAAAACCUGGGGCUUUAACUCCGGGCCUGCAGCCGAUACGGGCAGACUAGAGGUUCGGCAGGGAGACUGGAAUUCCGUGGUGUAGCGGUGAAAUGCGCAGUAUAAUCAGGAGGAACACCGGUGGCGAAGGCGGGUCUCUGGGCCGAUAUUGACGCUGAAGGAGCGGAAAGCGUGGGGAGCAAACAGG
rnacentral:rRNA from 1 species